UGCGUAGGCGGCGCGGUAAGUCGGGUGUGAAAUCUCGGAGCUUAACUCCGAAACUGCAUUCGAUACUGCCGUGCUUGAGGACUGAGAGGAGACUGGAAUUUACGGUGUAGCGGUGAAAUGCGUAGAUAUCGUAAGGAAGACCAGUGGCGAAGGCGGGUCUCUGGACAGUUCCUGACGCUGAGGCACGAAGGCCAGGGGAGACGAAACG
rnacentral:rRNA from 1 species